UACCUGGUUGAUCCUGCCAGUAGUCAUAUGCUUGUCUCAAAGAUUAAGCCAUGCAAGUCUAAGUACGAGCUCUCGUACAGUGAAACUGCGAAUGGCUCAUUAAAUCAGUUAUGGUUCACUUGAUCGUACAGUUUACUUGGAUAACUGUGGUAAUUCUAGAGCUAAUACAUGCGAGAAGCGCCGACCUCGCGGGAGGCGUGCAUUUAUCAGACCAAAAACCGGCCGCGUCUUCGGGCGCGUUCGCCUUGGUGACUCUGGAUAACUUUGCGGAUCGCACGGUCUAGCACCGGCGACGGAUCAUUCAAGUGUCUGCCCUAUCAACUUUCGUCGGUACGGUAUUUGCCUACCGAGGUUCUUACGGGUGACGGGGAAUCAGGGUUCGAUUCCGGAGAGGGAGCCUGAGAAACGGCUACCACAUCCAAGGAAGGCAGCAGGCGCGCAAAUUACCCAUUCCCGACGCGGGGAGGUAGUGACGAAAAAUAACAAUGCAGGACUCGUUCGAGGCCCUGUAAUUGGAAUGAGUACACUUUAAAAGCUUUAACGAGUAUCCAUUGGAGGGCAAGUCUGGUGCCAGCAGCCGCGGUAAUUCCAGCUCCAAAAGUAUAUAUUAUAAGUUGUUGCGGUUAAAAAGCUCGUAGUUGGAUUUUGGGCGCAGGCGGCCGGUCCGUCGCAAGGCGUGUACUGGACGUCCUGGCCUUCCCUCCGGUUCUCCGCCGGUGCUCUUGACUGAGUGUCGGCGGCGGCCGGAACGUUUACUUUGAAAAAAUUAGAGUGUUCAAAGCAG
rnacentral:ncRNA from 1 species